GUUCAGUUUCAACAAUAUUUUUUAUCUAAUUGCUUGCUUUUUGCAGAGUUGUGAGUGACAAGAAUGCUUAAGAGAAUGCCAUUGUUAUCCAUAGAAACGUGAACAACCGAUAGCUACAUGUGUGAAGGUUCAUGAUAUGAAUGGUCUGAAGUUGCUAGGACUUGGCCAAAUAAAGGUAUACUUGUCAUUUCAUAAGUUUUGAUUUCUCCAGCCAUCUUUCUUUUAAUUCUAUUCUCUAUGCGAGUGCAUGUUUCAAUUUGUUUUUUUCAUUUAAUGUUUUUAAAGUUCAAUUUGUAAUCUCUUUGCAUUUUGUUGAGAAUACCUGGAUGCUUCGUUUCAUGUUAUUCUUGUGGUUACUGUAGGGUGCUCCGUGAGAAGUAUAAUUUACAGGUAUUGCUGUCGGCAUGAAUGUUGUGAAAAAGAUAAUUACUUUCAUACUCCUGCUGUGGAGGCAAUCUGUUUCAGCUGAAUCAUGUUCCACUAUUAUCCAUACCUUGCUUAAGAAACGGAACUCCAUAAACUUAAUUAAGAACUUGGCUUAGUUUCUGUUCUUAAUAUGGUUGAUGCUUUUGCUAUAAGGUUUGCAAGAGAUCCCUUAACAAUACCCAGAAUGGUCCAAUAUGCCACCUACUCGGCAUUUUGUGAGAGCAGAACUGCUGCCUAGUGGGUAUCUGAUUUUUGCUCUCUUUUCUCUCUUCUAGAAUUUCCAAAUUCCCGCUCUCUACAACCAUCUAUAUUUCAUGCGAGUUCUGCAAUUGUAGGGUUUACUGAUUACAUAGCAAUCUUUCUGAUGUCUUCACCUGUUGAGCAAGUAUAAUUAUUAUCUUCCUCUUUUUUUUUGUUUCCACAGUAAUUGAUUUGGCGAUUUAUAAUUAGUUUUGUUACUUUUGUCAUUUGAAUGCUAAACAAGACUCGAUUUAAUGGCUUGCAGUUUCUCAUUACAUUUCGAUCUUAUUAUCAUGGCUCUAGUGAAUGUUGGAGGUGAUUUAGCAAAAUUUAAUACUUGGACGAGUUUCAACCGAAGUGGAUGCACAGUUGGCUUAUGAUAAUCAUGGCAUUAUCACGAAGGAUUUCAAGAAGAUAUUUGUAGAAAAUGAUUCCGUAGUAGAAAGGCGCUUAAUGUUUAAUAGUGUAAUCAUUAUUUUUUGAUGAAUAUUUUAGUGAACAUUCUGAUGUAAUGGAAGGAUGGAAUAUUUUCCGAUUUUGAAUUUUGAUGAAUAUUUCUGUUAUCCCAUAAUGAAUGUUUUCCGUUUCUAAA